AUUGAACGCUGGCGGCAUGCCUUACACAUGCAAGUCGAACGGCAGCACGGGUGCUUGCACCUGGUGGCGAGUGGCGAACGGGUGAGUAAUACAUCGGAACGUACCUUAUCGUGGGGGAUAACGCAGCGAAAGUUGCGCUAAUACCACAUACGCCCUGAGGGGGAAAGCGGGGGACCGUAAGGCCUCGCGCGAUUAGAGCGGCCGAUGUCUGAUUAGCUUGUUGGUGAGGUAAAAGCUCACCAAGGCGAUGAUCAGUAGCUGGUCUGAGAGGACGAUCAGCCACACUGGGACUGAGACACGGCCCAGACUCCUACGGGAGGCAGCAGUGGGGAAUUUUGGACAAUGGGGGCAACCCUGAUCCAGCAAUGCCGCGUGAGUGAAGAAGGCCUUCGGGUUGUAAAGCUCUUUUGUCAGGGAAGAAACAGCAGCUCUAACACAGUCUGCGAAUGACGGUACCUGAAGAAUAAGCACCGGCUAACUACGUG
rnacentral:rRNA from 1 species